rnacentral:rRNA from 1 species
UGCUGGAGGUAUCAGAAGUGCGAAUGCUGACAUAAGUAACGAUAAAGCGGGUGAAAAGCCCGCUCGCCGGAAGACCAAGGGUUCCUGUCCAACGUUAAUCGGGGCAGGGUGAGUCGACCCCUAAGGCGAGGCCGAAAGGCGUAGUCGAUGGGAAACGGGUUAAUAUUCCCGUACUUGGUGUUACUGCGAAGGGGGGACGGAGAAGGCUAUGUUGGCCGGGCGACGGUUGUCCCGGUUUAAGCGUGUAGGUAUGUGUUCCAGGUAAAUCCGGUUCACUUUAACACUGAGGCGUGACGACGAGGCACUACGGUGCUGAAGCAACAAAUGCCCUGCUUCCAGGAAAAGCCUCUAAGCAUCAGGUAACAUCAAAUCGUACCCCAAACCGACACAGGUGGUCAGGUAGAGAAUACCAAGGCGCUUGAGAGAACUCGGGUGAAGGAACUAGGCAAAAUGGUGCCGUAACUUCGGGAGAAGGCACGCUGACACGUAGGUGAAGUGAUUUACUCACGGAGCUGAAGUCAGCCGAAGAUACCAGCUGGCUGCAACUGUUUAUUAAAAACACAGCACUGUGCAAACACGAAAGUGGACGUAUACGGUGUGACGCCUGCCCGGUGCCGGAAGGUUAAUUGAUGGGGUCAGCGCAAGCGAAGCUCCUGAUCGAAGCCCCGGUAAACGGCGGCCGUAACUAUAACGGUCCUAAGGUAGCGAAAUUCCUUGUCGGGUAAGUUCCGACCUGCACGAAUGGCGUAAUGAUGGCCAGGCUGUCUCCACCCGAGACUCAGUGAAAUUGAACUCGCUGUGAAGAUGCAGUGUACCCGCGGCAAGACGGAAAGACCCCGUGAACCUUUACUAUAGCUUGACACUGAACAUUGAGCCUUGAUGUGUAGGAUAGGUGGGAGGCUUUGAAGUGUGGACGCCAGUCUGCAUGGAGCCGACCUUGAAAUACCACCCUUUAAUGUUUGAUGUUCUAACGUGGACCCGUGAUCCGGGUUGCGGACAGUGUCUGGUGGGUAGUUUGACUGGGGCGGUCUCCUCCUAAAGAGUAACGGAGGAGCACGAAGGUUGGCUAAUCCUGGUCGGACAUCAGGAGGUUAGUGCAAUGGCAUAAGCCAGCUUGACUGCGAGCGUGACGGCGCGAGCAGGUGCGAAAGCAGGUCAUAGUGAUCCGGUGGUUCUGAAUGGAAGGGCCAUCGCUCAACGGAUAAAAGGUACUCCGGGGAUAACAGGCUGAUACCGCCCAAGAGUUCAUAUCGACGGCGGUGUUUGGCACCUCGAUGUCGGCUCAUCACAUCCUGGGGCUGAAGUAGGUCCCAAGGGUAUGGCUGUUCGCCAUUUAAAGUGGUACGCGAGCUGGGUUUAGAACGUCGUGAGACAGUUCGGUCCCUAUCUGCCGUGGGCGCUGGAGAACUGAGGGGGGCUGCUCCUAGUACGAGAGGACCGGAGUGGACGCAUCACUGGUGUUCGGGUUGUCAUGCCAAUGGCACUGCCCGGUAGCUAAAUGCGGAAGAGAUAAGUGCUGAAAGCAUCUAAGCACGAAACUUGCCCCGAGAUGAGUUCU